CAUGUGGGCGAGAACCUCGGGAUAAUCUUAUCUAUGCGUUUAUGACCAAGGUCCUCUUUCAGAGCUACCUGUUCAGCUGUUCCCGACUGGAGGCUCCCGUGCAGCAUUCACGGAGGAGCGAGAACUCCUCUUUCCCUCACUUGACUGCUUUUAUAGGAGGCACUUAAUAUGCAAAAUAGGCUCCUUCUGCCCAAAGUGGAGUAAACGUUUUAGUGUGGUGGUUCAGUAUUUAUUUCCUGGUGUCCAGUGGCUCUGUCAUGGUGAUAAAAAGAGUGGGCAAGGAAAAGAUGCAGUCGGCUCCAUUUCUGGCUGCGUCCCCUGCUAUGUGGAUGGUGUGCGGGGUGAGUUAGAUAAGGGAGGGGUCAGAGCACUUAACUUGCGGGAGCCAAGAAAUCGCUGGUACUUGAUGGCUGUUUCAGAGAAGGAAACAACAUUCCUCUGAUGCUAUAACUGGUGCUUCUGAGAGCAAAAUGUCAGGGAGGAGAGAAGCAUGGCCUCUUGAGACAAACCCAGGCUGCGAAGAAUGUAAGCUCUGGUCUCACUUUGCGUUCCAGCCAAACACCUAAGGGCUCCUUUCUAUGACCAAAGGAAUAUCAACAAAGUGAAGCUGUGUUCUCCUCACUGCAUCCCGUCAGGAGAAUUCCUCACUGAUUAAAAUCUGGUUGCAAAACAAGGGACCUAGAGAGAUGUUCACUUCACCACUUCUCUACAGAUGCCUCCUGCUGCUUCCAACUUUUCUCCUUUAAGGCAGGGUGAAUCUAAAUCAUGGUCUCAGCCCUGAAGGAGGCACCAAAGCAGUUUCGUUGCCCUGUGAAAAGCUUCUAGAGGAGCCCAUCUGAAUGCUUGAAGAAACCAGCCGCCCUUGCAAUUACCUAAAAGGAAUUGAGUCAUUUUAACAAGACAUUAUUUCUGCCAUCCACGGUCACAAUCAUCUCUUUGAAAAAUAAAUACUCUUGGUUUGUUGUUU